rnacentral:rRNA from 1 species
AGAGUUUGAUCAUGGCUCAGGACGAACGCUGGCGGCGUGCCUAAUACAUGCAAGUCGAGCGAGCUUGCCUAGAUGAUUUUAGUGCUUGCACUAAAUGAAACUAGAUACAAGCGAGCGGCGGACGGGUGAGUAACACGUGGGUAACCUGCCCAAGAGACUGGGAUAACACCUGGAAACAGAUGCUAAUACCGGAUAACAACACUAGACGCAUGUCUAGAGUUUGAAAGAUGGUUCUGCUAUCACUCUUGGAUGGACCUGCGGUGCAUUAGCUAGUUGGUAAGGUAACGGCUUACCAAGGCAAUGAUGCAUAGCCGAGUUGAGAGACUGAUCGGCCACAUUGGGACUGAGACACGGCCCAAACUCCUACGGGAGGCAGCAGUAGGGAAUCUUCCACAAUGGACGAAAGUCUGAUGGAGCAACGCCGCGUGAGUGAAGAAGGGUUUCGGCUCGUAAAGCUCUGUUGGUAGUGAAGAAAGAUAGAGGUAGUAACUGGCCUUUAUUUGACGGUAAUUACUUAGAAAGUCAUGGCUAACUACGUGCCAGCAGCCGCGGUAAUACGUAGGUGGCAAGCGUUGUCCGGAUUUAUUGGGCGUAAAGCGAGUGCAGGCGGUUCAAUAAGUCUGAUGUGAAAGCCUUCGGCUCAACCGGAGAAUUGCAUCAGAAACUGUUGAACUUGAGUGCAGAAGAGGAGAGUGGAACUCCAUGUGUAGCGGUGGAAUGCGUAGAUAUAUGGAAGAACACCAGUGGCGAAGGCGGCUCUCUGGUCUGCAACUGACGCUGAGGCUCGAAAGCAUGGGUAGCGAACAGGAUUAGAUACCCUGGUAGUCCAUGCCGUAAACGAUGAGUGCUAAGUGUUGGGAGGUUUCCGCCUCUCAGUGCUGCAGCU